GCUGGAUGGAAUCACUGAAGCAAUAGGCGUGAACUUAAAUGGACUCCAGAAGAUGGUAGAGGACAGGAAGACCUGGAGGAACAUUGUCCUUGGGGUUGCGAGGGGUCGGACACGACUUCGCAACCAACAAGGUUGGUGUUCUUCUACUUAGAAGGCUUUUGUGUGGCCAGUAGGUGGAAAUGUGUUGGAGCCACACGAAGCCCUUUUAAGCAGAACACCGAGAUUCCUGAAGUUCUGCCGAAGACGUUAUCUAGCCUUGUAAUUUAACUUUCAGAAAACCAUCUGUAAGCUCAGAGAACGCAUCUCCACCCUCAUCCUACACCUGAGCCACAGAUAUUUACCACUAUCACAAACCUAGAUCAGUGUUUCUCAACCUCUGGGACUUAAUCUCCCAGAAUCCCCAGCCAGUUCUUCAAGUGGCCACAGUUGAGAAAUACUGACCUAAUGCUUGAGAUACGCCAUCUUUACUGUAAACAUCCAGGAUGCAGAGAAAAAAGUUCCCCUCGCCAACUGGAAUCCUUGAAUCCCACAAGCCAGGCUGGUUUUGAAUCCAGGUCCUUGGGAUGCCAGCUUCGAACGUGGUACCAGGGCCCACCGCUCAAACCACUGGACUCCAGUCUUCCAUCGGGCCUUAUUUUACAUUUCUUCUUGCUUUUUGGAACCUUAUCCGCCCACUCCCUUUUCCUUUGUUCAGAUCUGAGCAGUCCUUCGGAACAAGCAGCAGUGCAGGCAAAAUUAAAAAUAAUCAUAAACAAAAAUCCAAUAACUGGUAGCUACAUUUGUAUGAUGCAUUCACGCCCCCCCCUCCCCGUCCCUCAUCCACACCUGUGGGAAGUCAGCAACGUUUCCAACCACAGAAGGAGGGGAGGGGGGGGGAGAAGGCAUAUUACAAGGAACACAGGUUAAGGUGCAAGGCGAAAUAUCCCGAAACAGUUUUUUUUAUUAUUAUUGUUUUGCAGAUCUCACGAAACACCCGUGCAUUGUGCAACAACAGCAGCAACAGCCACACUUAGGGACGGAGGAAGAAGCUGAAGCAGAGAACCGUUCCCCCUUUGGGGUGCACUCUCGGACCCUCCAAAAAGGCAGAAGAGGGUUUGGCCCAAGCGAAGCAGGAAUGCAACAGAAAAUCAGGAGCCGUUUCUACAGACAACAUCAAAGUGCGUUUUAAUGUUCUAAUCUCAAGCUGGAGAAGCAAGGCUUGGUUUAGGUCCAUCUUUCCUGUCAUGCUAGAUAGAAAAUCAGCAGAAGGCAGACAUUGGGAGACAUUGGAGUUACACAACUGCAAUAGAUGAAAUCAUAAUUCCUUCACUAUACGGCACAAAGAUUCUGGAGUGGCUGGGCCGUUCCUGGGAAACUCAGCCACCGGUAAAUCUUCUUUGAUAUAAUUCCAAUUUGAGCUUUUGUGGUGAGCUGUAAAAAAUAUUCCCAAAUAUUGUCGGAGAUUAAAGGAGGAAGAUGAUGUAAACACUGAGAAUUGGAGUGUAAGUUUUGGCAAUAGACUCGGCAUCGUAUAAAAAUACUUGAUAAUAAAAAAUUUCAUCCAUAUAUUAAAAAAAAUCAGGACAUGAAUUGAUAGCAGAGUUCUUUUUUUUUUUUUUGUGCUUGCAGGGCAGACAAAAACAUUCUUCCUUUUACACACACCCUGGUCAUCAGAAACGCAGCGUUCUUUAAAUUAAAAAGGAGGGGGAGGGAAUUUCACCACACAAAAAUUUCACCACACCAUCAGAAGCAAUUCAACCAAUUGCAAUUCAUCUCAUUUAAAAAAAAAAAGAGCAGGUUUUAUCAUCAGCAGUUGUCCAAAUUUCUAUGUCGGGAUAAAAGUGCACAGAAUUUUAAUCCACCACAAGGCUGUGAGCUAACAUGAAAUGGUAUGCUUGGUGAACAUCAACAAAAACCCAAAACCCAGACAUUUUCAAGCUAGAGAUCUGGACCACACCGAGUCAAAUCAAGAGCAUUGUUGGUUUCCUUUCUUUCUUCUUUUUUGUUUUUCCUUUUCAGUUUGAAAGGUGAAAAAAAAAAUGUCAACGUUUUUGCAGCAUUGCAGUAAGGCACUCGCCCACGGUGUGUUUGUGCCGCAUUAAAAGGGUUAGCAGCCAACUCACUUUUUAAACAGACGGAAGACAAAUUUCCCUUUGUGGUAAGUGCUGCGGGUACCUUACACCAUUAGUAAACAGAAAGGGGAGGAAAAAAAAA